UUACGGCCAUAUCAUGUUCAAACAUUGGUUCUCGUCCUAUCAUCGAAGUUAAGCAACGCCGAGCCUGGUCAGCACCUAGAUGGGUAACCGCUUGGGAAUACCACGUGCUGUAAG